UUUUUAAAUUCACUAUUCUCAUGUUUGGUCUGGCUAACUCAAAACUCAGUUUGGAACUGCCAUCUUUCUAACCCCAGAAGUUUUAUAUGCUUUUCGUGGAAAUAAAAUUUUGUUGGUAGAUUUACCUCUAGUUAUUACAACUUGUGUGUCCUAGCUUGCAUCUUUGAACCUGUGAAAUGUUUUGCCUGCAAUCUGGGCCCCGGCCCUGAAAGUCAUGUGUUCCCCCACCCCGCCCCCCUCCUUUUUUCUUUUGCCCCUCUGGUUCCUCAGAUUGGUGGCACCUUAGGUUAUAUUGAGGUACUAACAACCCAGUCAAUUGAUCCAUGUGAAGAGGUGCAGUGGAAUUCCAACUAGUUGUCAAAGCCAUCUCAACUUUGUUCCACUUCAGCUCAGUCAAAUGUCACAUGGUCUUCAGUUCGUGAUGAGAGCAGCAAUAUUGAGUGCCUCCUUACUCAACUUGGGACCUUGAGGAGAUGGGAAUGAGCAAGUUCUCUUCCUAUGCAUAAUUGCAGUUUACCGAAGUUUCACUAUUCUC
rnacentral:lncRNA from 1 species